rnacentral:lncRNA from 1 species
CAAUCUGAGUCGUGCCCUUCUCCUUGCAAGUGAGGCGGUUGAUCUCUGGAUUUUGGCCGGUGCCAAAGGCCUCAGAAGACUUAGAAGUCUGGUUGCUGUUUGCAAUGGUGGUUAGAGGCAUUUUGUAGUGUUUUUUGGUCGUCUUUCUUUGUCUAGGGCUUUUUCUGGAGUGGUUGUUUUUGUAGGGUGGUUUUUGUGUUUUAGUGUUCCUUUGCGUGUGUUGGUGUGAGUAUGGGGUGAUGUUGAACCUGUU